rnacentral:rRNA from 1 species
GGGCCUACGGGAGGCAGCAGUGGGGAAUAUUGCACAAUGGGCGAAAGCCUGAUGCAGCAACGCCGCGUGAAGGAAGAAGGCCUUCGGGUCGUAAACUUCUGUCCUUGGGGAAGAAGAACUGACGGUACCCAAGGAGGAAGCCCCGGCUAACUACGUGCCAGCAGCCGCGGUAAUACGGAGGAUGCGAGCGUUAUCCGGAUUUAUUGGGUUUAAAGGGUGCGCAGGCGGAGGUGCAAGUCAGCGGUCAAAUUGCGGGGCUCAACCCCGUACUGCCGUUGAAACUGCAUCCCUUGAGUGCGCGAGAA